GCAGGAAUGGCGGAGUGGUCAAUCGCGGCAGACUGUAAAUCUGCUCCCUUCGGGGUUCAUUGGUUCAAAUCCAAUUUCCUGCA
rnacentral:tRNA from 1 species